UGUAACACGUUUUAAAUUUAU
rnacentral:piRNA from 1 species